rnacentral:rRNA from 1 species
CAGCCGCCGCGGUAAUACGUAGGGUGCGAGCGUUAAUCGGAUUUACUGGGCGUAAAGCGUGCGCAGGCGGCCCGUUAAGACAGGUGUGAAAUCCCUGGGCUCAACCUAGGAAUUGCGCUUGUGACUGGCGGGCUCAAGUACGGUAGAGGGGGGUGGAAUUCCUGGUGUAGCAGUGAAAUGCGUAGAGAUCAGGAGGAACACCGAUGGCGAAGGCAGCCCCCUGGGCCUGUACUGACGCUCAUGCACGAAAGCGUGGGGAGCAAACAGGAUUAGAUACCCUGGUAGUCAACGCCCUAAACGAUGGGUACUAGCCGUUUGGUGCGCGAUAGCGCUGAGUGGCGAAGCUAACGCGUGAAGUACCCCGCCUGGGGAGUACGGCCGCAAGGUUGAAACUUAAAGGAAUUGGCGGG